UCACAAAUUAUAUAUUUGUUGUAAUAUUUUAACCAGAGAGAGAGGAGGAAUGACAUACGUUGGCACUAGAAUAAGCAGUUGCCACACAUAUUUUUUUUUAAGAUAUGGCCCAAAGACUUUAAAUUCUAGUUAUUUUAUAUAAUUAUAUUUAUCACAUACGCAAGUCUUUUCUCUUUGCAAUAAAAUGGUUAAGCUAAGUUGGAUUUUUCUAUUCCUUUUUGGGUUCACCGGUCCUUCACUGGGCUGGCUGGAGCGGUGGCCAUGAGGGGCUUUUAAUGAGAGUGGACGUAGGUUAAUGCAAGGCGUGGAUAGGAAGGUGGAGUAGCAAGGGAAAUGGGUCUUCUUCAGCAUCGAACCUUUAGGCAACCAGGUGAUAUUUUUGGGCUUCCAUUCGACUUUGAGGGGUUGCAGCGGGUCAGGUGACAGAGGCUCCUUAGGCAGGGAGUUGGGGUUUGGGGGAUGAGUUAGUGCCUAAUUCCUAGUUCGGGAGGUGUGGCUUGGUCAUCCCUCGGAUCCAGAUUGAUGUUUUUCAUUUAUUUGUUGGUUUUGCUUGGUUUCAAUUUUAUGUUUUAAGGGUUUUCUUAUUAUGUUCUGUUAAUAACAUCCCCCAGUUAUGGGUGGUUGUAAUAUGCUAUGCUUGGUGGUGUUUUUAUACCAUUCAUCUUUGAUGAUAUGGUGGUUCCGUAGUUUUUAUUCAUGACUCUUUGGCCCGGUAGUGGUGUUCUGUGCUACUAAUUUGAGGACAAUUGUACUAACUUUCCAUACUGAAUUGAUGGCUUGAGUCAAAGUUUGAUCUACUAAAUUGGAGGUGGUUUAUGUUGUCA